rnacentral:rRNA from 1 species
UACGUAGGGGGCAAGCGUUGUCCGGAAUCAUUGGGCGUAAAGAGCGUGUAGGCGGCCCGGUAAGUCCGCUGUGAAAGUCCAGGGCUCAACCCUGGGAUGCCGGUGGAUACUGUCGGGCUCGAGUCCGGAAGAGGAGUGUGGAAUUCCUGGUGUAGCGGUGAAAUGCGCAGAUAUCAGGAGGAACACCAAUGGCGAAGGCAGCACUCUGGGACGUGACUGACGGCUGAGACGCGAAAGCGUGGGGAGCAAAGCAGG